CCGAAGGUCAACCCUGUUACGACGGUACAGUGAUCCAUUCACUUCGACCAAGUAGGAGCGUGGUGCCACUUUCUGUACACAGGAUCCGAGUCUCCAGAGGCCUGUCCGGUCCCCUGGUAGUGGCUUCAUUCGCACCGUUUCACCCACCCUGAGCUCAGGAUGUCGGUGGGCGGAGCCGGGAGGGUCGUCAGUGAAAUGGGACAAACCUGGGCUCGGGUGUGUCCCAGGAUAAAUGCACCUCUUCCCCAUUCAUUGAGGAGACCCUCUCCAUGCAGACACAGACCGAUUUUGGUUGUGGCUAUUUGGUUUGUUUGCAUUGGCACCAUUCAACACCCCUCAUUAUCACAUGUAUACACGCAACCACUCACUUACACUACUGACUAAACACACACCAUUGUUAAUUGUAUUUACUUUACUUCAGUUAAUAAAUAUGUUUUGUUAUUCUUUA